AGAGUUUGAUCCUGGCUCAGAACGAACGCUGGCGGCGUGCCUAACACAUGCAAGUCGAGCGCGAACGGAGCAAUCCUAGUAGAGCGGCGCACGGGUGAGUAACACGUGGGUAAUCUGCCUAGAAGUUCGGGACAACCUGCCGAAAGGCUGGCUAAUACCGAAUAAGCCCCCAGAGUCUUUGGACUCGGUGGGAAAAGAUGGCCUCUGUUUACAUGCUAUCUCUUCUAGAUGAGCCCGCGGCCCAUCAGCUAGUUGGCGGGGUAAUGGCCCACCAAGGCAACGACGGGUAGCUGGUCUGAGAGGACGAUCAGCCACACUGGAACUGAGACACGGUCCAGACUCCUACGGGAGGCAGCAGUGGGGAAUUUUGCGCAAUGGGCGAAAGCCUGACGCAGCAACGCCGCGUGUGUGAUGAAGGUCUUCGGAUUGUAAAGCACUUUCGACCGGGACGAAAACGGGUUGGCUAACAUCCAAUUCACUGACGGUACCGGGAGAAGAAGCACCGGCUAACUCUGUGCCAGCAGCCGCGGUAAUACAGAGGGUGCAAGCGUUGUUCGGAAUUAUUGGGCGUAAAGCGCGUGUAGGCGGCUUUGCAAGUCGGGUGUGAAAUCCCUCAGCUCAACUGAGGAAGUGCGCCCGAAACUGCAGAGCUUGAGUACCGGAGAGGAUGGUGGAAUUCCCCAAGUAGAGGUGAAAUUUGUAGAUAUGGGGAGGAACACCGGUGGCGAAGGCGACCAUCUGGACGGAUACUGACGCUGAGACGCGAAAGCGUGGGGAGCAAACAGGAUUAGAUACCCUAGUAGUCC
rnacentral:rRNA from 1 species